rnacentral:miRNA from 1 species
CCUGGAAGUUCUGAGGUU